AUAUGUAUUACCAUUUUUACAUGUAUUCAUAGCCUCAUUUCGAUUUCACCUACUCUUUCAAAAGCUUUACGAUGAACAUUGCCUCACCUAAAGCACAUGUCGAGUCAUCACAAGGCCUCCUCAUCCAUUUAACGGAACCUAACACAGAAGUUAACAAAUUCAAAGAGUGGAAACGUGAUACGGAAAACGCACUUAGGAUGUUCAGCGAUGGUGAAACACAAGUUUGGUAUCGUAUCGAAGAAGCAACAUCAGGUACUUUAUCAAUAGUUUGAUGGAAUUUAUACACUCUGCUAUUCUAUUAGAUGGGUCCAAGUACACACAAAAGCUCAAAGUUUUUAUGGAGAUCGAAGACAACACUUCUUAUGAAAGAGCCCCGAAAGAAAAAAACGGCGAAUGCGUGGAGAAGAAAGUAAAGACCCUAAUAUGCAGUCACAAAUUUCACCAUCAAUGUAUAACAACAUGUCUAAUUUGUAGAACUCAAUCAUUUUAACCUUGGAUACUUUAUGUUAUUCAAUAAAGCAUCAUGUUUUCAUA